rnacentral:rRNA from 1 species
GACGAACGCUGGCGGCGUGCUUAACACAUGCAAGUCGAACGGAAAGGCCCUGCUUUUGUGGGGUGCUCGAGUGGCGAACGGGUGGGUAACACGUGAGUAACCUGCCCUUGACUUUGGGAUAACUUCAGGAAACUGGGGCUAAUACCGGAUAGGAGCUCCUGCUGCAUGGUGGGGGUUGGAAAGUUUCGGCGGUUGGGGAUGGACUCGCGGCUUAUCAGCUUGUUGGUGGGGUAGUGGCUUACCAAGGCUUUGACGGGUAGCCGGCCUGAGAGGGUGACCGGCCACAUUGGGACUGAGAUACGGCCCAGACUCCUACGGGAGGCAGCAGUGGGGAAUAUUGCACAAUGGGCGGAAGCCUGAUGCAGCAACGCCGCGUGCGGGAUGACGGCCUUCGGGUUGUAAACCGCUUUCGCCUGUGACGAAGCGUGAGUGACGGUAAUGGGUAAAGAAGCACCGGCUAACUACGUGCCAGCAGCCGCGGUGAUACGUAGGGUGCGAGCGUUGUCCGGAUUUAUUGGGCGUAAAGGGCUCGUAGGUGGUUGAUCGCGUCGGAAGUGUAAUCUUGGGGCUUAACCCUGAGCGUGCUUUCGAUACGGGUUGACUUGAGGAAGGUAGGGGAGAAUGGAAUUCCUGGUGGAGCGGUGGAAUGCGCAGAUAUCAGGAGGAACACCAGUGGCGAAGGCGGUUCUCUGGGCCUUUCCUGACGCUGAGGAGCGAAAGCGUGGGGAGCGAACAGGCUUAGAUACCCUGGUAGUCCACGCUGUAAACGGUGGGUACUAGGUGUGGGGUCCAUUCCACGGGUUCCGUGCCGUAGCUAACGCUUUAAGUACCCCGCCUGGGGAGUACGGCCGCAAGGCUAAAACUCAAAGGAAUUGACGGGGCCCCGCACAAGCGGCGGAGCAUGCGGAUUAAUUCGAUGCAACGCGUAGAACCUUACCUGGGUUUGACAUGGAUCGGGAGCGCUCAGAGAUGGGUGUGCCUCUUUUGGGGUCGGUUCACAGGUGGUGCAUGGCUGUCGUCAGCUCGUGUCGUGAGAUGUUGGGUUAAGUCCCGCAACGAGCGCAACCCUUGUUCACUGUUGCCAGCACGUUAUGGUGGGGACUCAGUGGAGACCGCCGGGGUCAACUCGGAGGAAGGUGGGGAUGACGUCAAGUCAUCAUGCCCCUUAUGUCCAGGGCUUCACGCAUGCUACAAUGGCUGGUACAGAGAGUGGCGAGCCUGUGAGGGUGAGCGAAUCUCGGAAAGCCGGUCUCAGUUCGGAUUGGGGUCUGCAACUCGACCUCAUGAAGUCGGAGUCGCUAGUAAUCGCAGAUCAGCAACGCUGCGGUGAAUACGUUCCCGGGGCU